UGUUCGUUCUGCCACUUCAUAUGUAAAAAUAUUUGUAUUAUUAACCGUUCCCAGACAAAAUAGACUACAAACUACAAGCAUGGGCGAAUAUGAUGAAAUGUACGGGAUUGAAGAUCAUUUUGAGCAACAGUUUGCUGGAAGUGAUGGCUGAAAUGGACUGUGAGUCAGACAGAUGUGUAUUUAUCCACUCGCUGAUAGUAUUAAUGCUAACUGCCUUUUCGUUUAUAGCUAGUUUACAAAGCAUUUAAUGUGUCAUUCCACCUUUUCAAUUGUAAUAUCUAUCUAUUUCAUAACUGUGACGAACAUUUUGAAAGUGUUAAAUUGCUUCGUGUUAGUGUCAAAGUAUGGAUGCACGAUACAUCAGUUUCAGCCAAUGUUUACACUAUUGGCAUUCUACAUUGGAGUAGCUAUGAUAUCAUGGCUUAUAUUUUGAACUAGUUAUGACUAGUAUAAUUUUUAACCAAGUAUACUACGUUUGGAGGACAUGUUACAACAUAAUAAACAUUGUUUCAAUGCUUGAUUUAAGUUCAGAUGAGACCCCUGCGUGACUGCUGUGUGCAUUUGCAACUUCCCUCUUUGAUUUGUAACUAGUAGCACCCAAUAAACAAGCAAUUUGUUUUCUAGAGCAAAUCGUUUUCCUAAAAAUUGUACAGCUGUACUAAGUUGUGAUUUAUUUUUAUUUUUUUCACCAAAUAGUUUAAUUUUUGUUGAGGAGUGUUAGUUAUUCAUGUUUUUGAAAUAGAAAUUACAGUUGAUUUUCAAUAUAGCUAAAUAAAUAAUUCUGAUAGAAAGGAAUAGCCAGCAUCAUCAAAUCACUACCAAUCAUGUUAACAUAAAAUGUAGCAUUCUAAAAUUCUGAGUCUAUGUACUGAUUAUUAUUGUCUCAUGUGUGCCAAACAUCAUCCGCAGCCUGAAACUGAAAUUUUGGUCAGAUUUUACGAGUGAAUGCACUUUCAUGUAUCUGCUAUAAAAAAAGCUAUAGGAUGCUCCCUUGCUGUUUAGUGAAUGACCUCCAUUGUGCUAUCUGCACUCAGAACUUCAGUUCGAAAUGCACCUUAUUUUCAUCCUAACUCCAUAUAAAGCCUCUGAAAGCAACAGCUUUCAGCUUUCGGAUGAAUACAUUUAUUUUCAAUGUGAAAAUGCACUAAGUAUACAGUACUGUGAAAAAGUAUGAUUUCUUCUGUUUUUGUGUAUAUCUCAUACUAAAUUGUUUCAGAAAAUCUAACAUAUAACAAAGGCAAUCUGAGUAAACACAACAUACGUUUUUUAAAUGAUAAUGUUAUUUAUUGAAGCAAAAAAGUUAUCCAAUACCAUCUGCGCCUGUGUGAAACAUUAUCCAAAAUCUAUGAAACUGCAUUCAGAAUGGGGUUCAUCUGGACAAGACACACCCAGGUCUGAUUACUGCCAGCCCUGUUCAAUCAAAUCAACACUUAAAUAUACAAUUUUUAGCAGCAUGAAGUUGGCUAAAAGUUCUCACUCAGUACCACACUAUGCCAAGGCUGAAAGAAAUUCCAGACAUGAGGGAAAAGGUGAUUGAAAUACAUCAGUCUGGGAAGGGUUACAAAGCUAUUUCAAAUGCUCUGGGACUCCAAAGAACCACAUUGAAAGCCGUUAUUGCCAAAUGGAGAAAACUUGGCACAGUAGUGAAUCUCCCCAAAAGUGGCCAACCUUCUAAAAUUCCUUCUAAAAUUGCACAGCGACAGCCCAUCCAGGAAGUCACAAAAAAGCCAAGGACAACAUCCAAGGAACUGCAGGCCUCUCUCGCAUCAAUAAAUGUCACUGUUCUUGACUCCACUAUCAGAAAUACACUGGUCAAAAAUGCCAUCUCUGGAAGAGCGGCGAGGCGAAAACAACUGCUAGCCCAGAAGACCAUUAAGGCUCAUCUGAAUUUUACCAAAACACACCUUGAUAAUCCUCAAACCUUUUGGGAGAAUGUUCUGUGGAUUGAUGAGUUGAAGGUGGAACUGUUUGGAAGACAGGUGUCCCGUUACAUCUGGCAUAAAUCAAACACAGAAUUCCACAAAAAGAACAUCUUAUCUAUGGUCAAGCAUGGAGGUGGUAGUGUGAUGGUGUGGGGAUGCUUUGCUUCUUCAGGGCCAGGGUGACUUGCAAUAAUUGAGGGGAAAAAUAAUUCUGCUCUAUACCAGAAAAUGUCUGAUUAUCAAAUAGAAAUAUUUUUUACAGCACUGUAUAGAAAUACAUUUACUAAUGUUAAUGAAUAGAACCUAUUGCACAGUGAUAAUAUUUAUUCAAAGUAACUAACAUGUUUUUUCAAGUUUUGAGGGAAUAAGGUCCUUUUUUUCCACAUAUGUGGACAUCAUGUGUAUCACUGCGCUGACAUGUGGAAAAUAUAUGGAUUUUUUAAAGCAGCAUAUCAAACUAGACAUGCCAUUCUACAACCAAACAGGCUUCAAUCAAAAACUUAGUGGGUUCUUACCAGAGUCACAUUUCUUGGCGCUGUGCCUGUAGAAGCGCUUCACGGAAAUCAACGUCAUGUUGCUGUGUCACAUGACUCUGUGCGCUUGAAGUUUAACCCUUAAAUGCCAGUGUAGAGUCUUAUGAACAGCAUUUAGUCUGUUUAAAUUAAUUGAAAAUAUGCGUUGUGUAUAGCGAAGCCAAAAUACAAUGUCCACAUGUGGACGCUGGUUCUCAUAGAUAAGUUAAUCAUAUACUGUUCUAUUUCGAAGAUAAAUAGAAAACAAUGUGUGAAGUUUUUAAUCAGCCAAAAUAAUAAAUGUAUAAUAUAGGCAUUGUUGACUAUAACACGACAAAAUAAUAAUAAAUAAAACAUUGGUUGUGGUAUUUGCCAAAAAUUCUAUAUUGGUGAUAUUAGUGGACAAGCAGCUUUGCAGGAGUCACCAAAUAGGGUCACUGCAGCAAGACGCCAUGCCCAGAAACGCCCGCCCGCAAUCGGAGAUUACAUCACUGUAACAGACUCCACGGGGAGCAGAGUCUAUCUUAGCAAGGAAGAGGAUAAGGUUUGUGACCCCACAAACCCUUUCAAACAAACAAUUGUAAUGGAUAAAGUUUGUUUUAUGAGUUGCAUUUUCUAAUUUCAUAGGUGCCAGACCCAACAGGCUUCCGUAACUCACUGAAUGGACUAGGACUGAUGCUGUUUCCAUAGAAGUGCUGAAAGAACAAAUUGCAGAGAGAUGGUUGAAGAAUCUAAAAAAACUGACAGCUGCUGAAUAGUUAUGUUCCAGCUCUGAUGCCACUGAGACCGCAAGCUAUUGACCUUUCCACAAACACUGCCCUCCUGCUUGGCUCAAAGAUUGGCAGAGGUGAAGCAUUACUUUAGGCCCUUUCACACCUACAGUCUUGGUACCUUUCCCUUAGUAACUUUCUAGAUGACAACUGUUACGAGGAACGGAACACCUGAGGAAACUUUUCCCAUUUCAUUUGCACUCAUAAAGUAACCAACAUAGUGACAUCAUCUAAUAUCAACCAUUAUUAUUCUGAUGUUAUUUGCAUGCACAUUUCAAUAGCAACAACAACAAAUUCAACAACACUGAUGGAGGACGCCGAGAUCAGAGCUGCACUUUUGUUUGUUUAGGGCUGUUUUAUAUGAACUUUGGCUGCAUAGGAAAACGUAGGCUGCUGCCUUAUCAGUUAAUGGUUUAAACAACAUUGUUUUUUGGAUGAAUGGAACUCUCUGAACACCUUAUUUCAUCCUGCCUUCAUCCAUCCUUGUACAGCCUCUGAAUGCAACAUUUUCCAGUUUUCUGAUGCAGCUUGUGUCUUCAGGUUACGUGAAGCAUCCAUGCGUUGCUCCGUGUUGCAGCCAGAGUACGAGAUGAGACGCAGUGGCAAAAACUCUGUUUAACUACGCAGCACAUGCUGAACUCAGCGGACAACAUGUUGAAAGUUCACUAUAAAUCUAUUUAUCAACACAAUAUUUUACAAUAAAGGCUUUUAUG